AUGCUGGUUGAGAUCUGCACCGUGGCUAUCUGCUGGGUCAUAACAGCAAGCUGUAGUCAGUGCAUAGCUCUAACCCAGAAGAAGCCCACUGUGGAGACACCCCCUCUCACAGAGGGAGAGAAGGCCACACUGACCUGCAAAGUAUAUUCACUCAAACUAAAUGACCUCUGCCCGCAAAGACUAGAAGAAGAUUUUGUUGGAAUAGUCUGGAGAGGGACAGAGAACUUAGGCAUGUAUUUUGGGAUAAUGGAGCCAUCAACAGCAGAAAAUACAUUCAGUGUGAAUAUGUUGUCUUUCACUCCUAAAUCCGAACAUCACAACAUCAACCUCACAUGUGUGGGCAUCUACAAGAAGGCCAACAUUACUGUGGAGAAAACGGUGACUUUAACAGUAAAAUACCGUCCCAAGUUCCUGAAUGGCUCGGUGUGUGUGGUCCAGGCAGAGGUCCUGACCUGUGUGUGUGUCAGUCAGGGGGUUCCCUUACCAGUGAUUGCUUGGCCAAUGUUAGGGGUCUAUAUUAGUUACAGUGUCAUCGUCUCCAGGAGUGCCCAAACCGUGAACAGCACCAUCACCAUGUCUGCCUCAGAAUACAAGAACAGCAGCGUGGAGUGUGUCAGCAGAAAUGUAAUUGGCCAGAUCGAGAUGGAAUUCCCCAUACUACACCAAGCUGAAGGGAGCCUGACACGUAAGUUCUUCAGUUGAACAUUCUAUGUAUGUAUAGGACUAGUGUUACAUUUUACAAUUUGAGUGAAGAUGAACCACCAAUUCAUUUCUGUUCAAAUUCAGCUCAAAUCACACUGACAAAGACGAUGACAUUUUCAUCAUGCAAAAGUUGUGUCAAGUGCAAAAUUCACCAUUCAUCUCAUUAUAAUGUGGCAGUGUGAUUUAAUUUUGAACUUUUCUUCAACAAUGUUUGUAAUAAAUAGGCGACUACUCAUUAUAUGCUGUUUAUACUCAGUUUAUGCAGAGUUGAAAAAACUAUAGUUUCAUGAUCACCUCUUUAUAAAGCACAUUGUUUAAUGGUUCGGGCUAGCCCUUUUGUUCCAGUGAAGGGAAAUC
rnacentral:lncRNA from 1 species